rnacentral:rRNA from 1 species
UUCCGGUUGAUCCUGCCGGACCUCUGCUUCGGGGUGGGACUAAGACAUGCGUGUCGAACGACCCCUAGCCAUGAAGGGGACGUGGCAUACGGCUCAGUAACACGUGGCUAACCUACCCUUGAGACAGGGACAACCCCGGGAAACUGGGGCUAAUCCCCGAUAGAUGAGAACACCUGGAACGGGUUCUCGUCCAAAAGGCGCCUAGAUCACGCUUCUAGACGCUGCUCAAGGAUGGGGCCGCGGCCGAUCAGGCUGUUGGUGAGGCAAUGGCUCACCAAACCUUUAACCGGUACGGGCCGUGGGAGCGGGAGCCCGGAGAUGGGAACUGAGACAAGGUCCCAGGCCCUACGGGGCGCAGCAGUCGCGAAAACUUGUCAAUGCACGAAAGUGUGAACGGGCUACCCCGAGUGCCGUCCGCUGAGGAUGGCUUUUCUCUGCUGUAAGGAAGCGGAGGAAUAAGGCGAGGGCAAGUCUGGUGUCAGCCGCCGCGGUAAUACCAGCUCGCCGAGUGGUAGGGAUGAUUAUUGGGCUUAAAGCGUCCGUAGCCGGCCUCUCAAGUCUCUCGUUAAAUCCAGCGAUUCAAUCGUUGGACUGCGGGAGAUACUGUUAGGCUAGGAGGCGGGAGAAGCCGACGGUAUUUUCGGGGUAGGGGUAAAAUCCUAUAAUCCCGGGAAGACCACCAGUGGCGUAGGCGGUCGGCUAGCACGCGCUCGACGGUGAGGGACGAAAGCUGGGGGAGCGAACCGGAUUAGAUACCCGGGUAGUCCCAGCUGUAAACGAUGCUGGCUAGGUGUUGGAGCGGCUACGAGCCGCUCCAGUGCCGCAGGGAAGCCAUUAAGCCAGCCGCCUGGGGAGUACGGCCGCAAGGCUGAAACUUAAAGGAAUUGGCGGGGGAGCACCACAAGGGGUGAAGCUUGCGGUUUAAUUGGAUUCAACGCCGG